UACGGAAUAUUGUCCAAUGGGCGCAAGCCUGAGACAGCCAUGCCGCGUGUGUGAAGAAGGCCCUAGGGUUGUAAAGCACUUUCAGCAGGGAGGAAAACGGCCGGAUUAAUACCCCGGUUUUUUGACGUUACCUGCAGAAGAAGAUCCGGCUAACUCCGUGCCAGCAGCCGCGGUAAUACGGAGGGAUCGAACGUUAAUCGGAAUUACUGGGCGUAAAGCGCACGCAGGUGGUUUGUUAAGUGGGAUGUGAAAGCCCCGGGCUUAACCUGGGAACUGCAUUCCGAACUGACGAACUAGAGUACGAUAGAGGGGGGUAGAAUUCAGAGUGUAGCGGUGAAAUGCGUAGAUAUUCUGAGGAAUACCGGUGGCGAAGGCGGCCCCCUGGAUUGAUACUGACACUCAUGUGCGAAAGCGUGGGGAGCAAACAGG
rnacentral:rRNA from 1 species